AGGAUAAACGCUGGCGGCGUGCAUUAGACAUGCAAGUCGAACGGACUUUUCAGGGCUUGCUCUGAAAAGUUAGUGGCGGACGGCUGAGUAACGCGUAGGUGACCUACCCCGAAGUGGGGAAUAACUGCCCGAAAGGGUGGCUAAUACCGCAUGUGAUCGUUUGUUCAUUCGAACGAUCAAAGCAGCAAUGCGCUUCGGGAGGGGCCUGCGUCCGAUUAGCUCGUUGGUGGGGUAAUGGCUCACCAAGGCGACGAUCGGUAGGUGGUCUGAGAGGACGAUCACCCAGACUGGGACUGAGACACGGCCCAGACUCCUACGGGAGGCAGCAGUCGGGAAUUUUUGCUCAAUGGGCGCAAGCCUGAAGCAGCAACGCCGCGUGAGGGAUGAAGGCCUUCGGGUUGUAACCUCUUUUAUCAGGGAAGAUUAUGACGGUACCUGAUGAAUAAGCCACGGCUAACUACGUGUCCAGCAGCCGC
rnacentral:rRNA from 1 species